UGUAAAGAAAAUGUUUUAUUUAAAGUGUUAAAUACCAUCACCAGAAUGAGUUUGAUUUACAUUAGUUGGUGUUCAUUACAGGCCUAAUCUGCCCCUUUUUUUUCCCCCCAAACUGUAAUUCCUUUUAACUUUUUAAAACGUACUAUGUACAAGACAGCAGUGAUCACUGGAAUAGUGCUAUUUACAUGACUAAACCAUAAGUAGAGUUGCAGACGUGAAAAUUAAAAAAAAAUACAUUAAUUUUUUUAAAAUAAAUACUGCAUAAUGACAAGUAUGUACAAACCUUCCAUGCGUCAUGUCCUUGAUUUUAAAAUUUGAAAUAAUUUAUAUAGGACUAUGCAUACAAGAAUGCAUGAGCACACCUCACAGUAUCAGGAAAAUGGUUAUGUAUUUUUGUUUAAUAUCCUAGGGGAUAUUGUAGACUGCAUGUUAGUAGUAGUUGCUGCUGGUAGACAGGUGUCUAAAUUAUUUCAAUAAAUAUAAUUUUACCAGUCUGUCCAUUAACAAUAAUCCAUUAUACAAACUCUGAAGACAAGACACAAUCUUGAUUUAUAUGAUAUUGCACAAAGUAAAAGGCAUUUUAAGUGAUACUGUUAUUACUUUUGCCCUUGUAUGAGGCAUGUACAAUUUCUUAAUGGGAAAAUUCACUAGAUUUUCAAAUAAAUCAGAAUAAUUCUGUGUGGCCUUAAAGGUAAAUGUAAUGUAUAUUUCAAAAAAUUAUUGCAAAGUUUCAACCUUAAAUAGGUAUUAAAGGCAUAUGAAGACGCAGAAAAAAAAGGAUAUUUUCUUAUUAAAUCUUAGCCAGUUACAUUCCGUUUAAAUAAUGUAAUUUAAUGAGAAGCUUGAACUUGCAGCACCACCCAAUGGUAGUUACUGUCUGCUACAAAAACCAGGUUUUUGAAGACCCGUUGACUGCAGUGAGGGUUCUGGUAAUAAUGUCAAACAUCUGUCAGAGUGGUACUGAUAAGCUUUCUUUAAGGCUAUUUUAUGAACCAAAGACUGAUAUUUUCCAGAUUGAUAUUAUCUAAUUAUGUCUUUUGCAACACAAACGUAGUUUACGAAAAUUGAACUUUACAGCAGAAGAACUGUACAAAUUAGUAACCUUCGUUGCUUUUGCAAUCUCAAAUGUAGCAAUUAAUUUGGUUUAGUGCAAAUAAAAGUGUUUAAAUUUAUUUCCUAAAGAUCAACCAGGUACUUCAUUUUUCAUCUUUCCAAAAACCUUCAAGAAAUGAUAGUUCAACCUUUGAAUGAAAGAUGCUGGUGCUAAAAACAAAUUUAUUGAAGACAUCUUACAAUGGCCACAUGAUUCCAGUAUUUUGCUGUAGAAUUCAAUCUGAAGGUCAGAAAAAAUGAAAAUAAGUUACCAUGCACUGUACAAUAAAUUGCAAAAAGUUCAAAUAUCUUCUUUAUCAAAUACAUGCUGAAUUACAUUAAUGUACUCCCAAGCCAUGUUGCAAAAUCCUUUUCAACAUGCUUGAAAAAAAAUAAGUUGUUAAACAAUAUUUUUCUCAAAUAAUUCAGAAAUGCAGAGCAAUCUGCAACCCUGAACCAAAUAUCGGGCAUAAGAGACUAGUAAGUCAAAAGGUAGGCAUUUUAGAAUAUGAUGAUCAUCCUGGGAGGUAGAGGGGAAAAAGAGCCAAAGGAAGAAGGGAGACUGGGAGGAGAGAUAGAGAAAGGAGGAGGUAAAAGAAGUAUACAAUUUGCACAUUAUGUUGAACUUUACAAGGCUUGUACCUUUUACAUUUAAAUAAA
ensembl:lncRNA